GUGCCAGCAGCCGCGGUAAUACGGGGGGGGCAAGCGUUGUUCGGAAUUACUGGGCGUAAAGGGCUCGUAGGCGGCUGCCUAAGUCGGACGUGAAAUCCCACGGCUCAACCGUGGAACUGCGUCCGGUACUGGGCGGCUUGAAUCCAAGAGAGGGAUGCGGAAUUCCAGGUGUAGCGGUGAAAUGCGUAGAUAUCUGGAGGAACACCGGUGGCGAAGGCGGCAUCCUGGAUUGGUAUUGACGCUGAUGAGCGAAAGCCAGGGGAGCAAACGGGAUUAGAUACCCGCGUAGUCC
rnacentral:rRNA from 1 species